UUCGAGAACCACUGCCAAACAAUUUCAAUUUUGGGGUAAACGGAGGAGGAGAAUCGCCGGCGAUUCCAUGGCGUCCGGCUUCAGGUUCCCGAUGCUGUCGACCGCGAAGGUCGCCAAGGCGCUACUCCAGUCCGAUAUCUCAUCCGGCACCAUCCUCCGCCCCGACGACAUCGCCAAACCCCAGCUCGACCUGAUCCUCCCCGCCAUCCUCUCCCACUUCUUCGCCUCCUUCGUCGAGGUCCUAAUUAAGCGCCCUCAUCAACUACCUCUUGGAACGAGAGGAGAAGCUCAACCUCCUGCGCCCCAUCAUCAACGACGUACCCGACUACCACGAGUGUUCUGUGGAGCCAGUGGCCAGGAUUGAUCAGUUCUUCACUGUCCAGAGCCUCUGCAGCGUUUCUGUUCGGGGAAAUGCCCACAUGCAAACUUGAGUUCUGAAAUUGCAACUUUUGUUUGUUGUGCCAGGUUUCUUUCGUGCAGCAUCUAAGGAGGUUGCGGAUCAUUAGCUCGUGGAGUAGAUGGAAGAGCCAAUGGUCCAUCAGCUGGAAUGUGGAUGUCAGUACCCAGUGGCAGAAAGUUCAGGUUUACAAAAAGCAGCACUUGGAGCAAAAGCCGUGGUCAUCAAUAUCAAGAACGUGGAGAUCCACAGGAUGGUGUGUUGAUUCCCUGCCUUGUGUCUUAUUUCCUCUAUUUCUGUUGUGAGAAUAAAGCUGUGCUAUGACACCAUGAUCAGGUUCAAUGUGCUUGAUUCACGACACAAACACAUCAUUAGCAAAUUUCGUUCUUUACGUGGCAUUGCAUUCAUGUCUAUAGCUCAAUUUGAACCACUUAUUCAGCUACUUAAUUGUCUUUUGAUAUCGUAGAAUUCUUCUGAUGAUUGACUACAUUGUCAGGACCUUAUGUUUAUUGUAAAUUUCUUCAACUUUGCCCGCACCCAUCUGUUGCGUUGGUCAACCCAAAGCUUUAUAUGAAUCUAAGUUACUUAGAAUGCUGCCUUCCUCUAUCAUCGUUCGCCGUACAUGAGUUUGUCAUGUUAUAUAAAUAAAAUAUAAGCAAUUCAUACAGAUAGCAAAUGAAAUUUGUAAAUCACCUAUCAUGGUACAUAGUAUAUGCCUACAAUAUACACAACAAUGAAACACAUGGGAUUCUGAUCAAAAGACCACAUUCAAUAUCAGGUUGAAUAUAAAAGCCUUGGCCCUUUAGUGUGGCUCGACUCUGAUCUUCUAGAUCCAAGCUAGAGCUACUUGGUCAAAAUACCUUGGCUCCAAGUGCGCACCUAGAUGAAACUCCAGCCAUUUUGAUGCGAAUAAACUCGAAGCUCCCAGCUAUAGGAACUAGGAAGCCCUAAGCUUCAUCCAACUUUCAACUUUCGUAGGUUAGAAGCACUCCAGCCCACAUAUUGCCUGGCUAGCUAUCUACAUCUAAAAAGUGCACACUGUACACAAUCUGUUGAAACAAUUCUUUAUCCACCAUUUACUCUUGAGUCUUGAUAUCUGCUUCUCCAGUUGGCAUUAAGCUAUACUUAAAGAAUGAGGGAAUUAAACAACUGAUAUACUGUUCUUGACAAUUUGCGCUGAUAGGUUGAUGUUCUGCAUAAAAAUUAAUCAACAUUUCAGUACAUAAUCUUGUAUUUGAUGCAUUUUAUGUUUCCUGAUAGCCCAGGCAGAUUUUGAGUAGACUAAACAUGCCCAAGAAAACUCCAAAUUGAGGUUCAAUUUUUUUGGAGUCCCUAGUAAAGGUUCAGAACAUGAAAUGGAGGAGCUCUCUAGGAAAAAAGUGAAAGAAAGGAAUCAAAUAAUACGAGAUCAAAAUCAGGAGCUGAGUGCUUUUAGGUCCAAGAUUCCUUGAACCUAAAAAAAGGAAAGCAGAGGCAAUGAUCGCUAAGAAACUGACAUAGGAAGGUAGUUCUGCUCCGGGACCAUCUGCGGAUACAACGAAAACCACACUGAGAGCCAGUGCAACAAGCAAGAAGUCAAGGGCUCGGCUCGGAAAAGGAUAUGAGAUGUUCUUCUUACUAGCAUGGUGAUGUAAUAGUGCCUCUAGCUACAACUAAUGUUUAUGAACAUAGGAACUUCAUUGAUCUAUGGAAUCAUUAGCUCACUUGCCCUUGCCUGCUUGUGGAAACAGGGAUAAAAGAAUCCAACACAAAAGACCUGCCACGGUUUUGAUGCUAUCUACUCAAUUAUGCGCUGGUUUCGAUCAGGACGAAGUAUUGCUUGUUAUUUCCUGCAAGAAUGAGAGGAAUACGUA